GUUUUUCUGAAGAGUGGCGCCUGGUGACAAUAAUGGCCUCUGCCCAGACUGUUGCCCCUUGCCUGCAAUGGGGGCAUCUUGGCAGCUUGGAGGCAUCAGACUCAUCCAGGAAGACUCAGCUAAGAGGUCCACGGUAAAGACUCAUCCACACACCUGCCACAGGGAUGAGUCCCUCUUGCCUUCCUACAUCUGCCACCACAGUUGAUCACAUCAUCCUUCCCUGGAUGAAGAGUCUGAGGCUUAGCGUCUGUCAAAAGAACCAAAGCCACACAGUAAGCUGGGAUUCGAAUCCAGGACUUUCUGAUGCAAGAUCCCACGGACCUAAUGACAUUGCUGCUGCUGUCUGCCUGACUGUCCAGCCCUUGCAGAAGGAGCACUUAUCAAUGGGCUGAGCUUCUGGCUGGAUCCUAAAGGUGUCACAAGGUCCCCACCAGCCUACCUACCACGUGACUCACAGGUUACUGCUAAAGAGAUGCCUUGGGGUUAAAAUACUGUCCACAGACGUUUUGGUUAAAAGACUCAAUAAUAGAAGUGCUCUGGUCUGGACUGAAAGAUGGUAGUUAAAAGCCAGAAAGAGGGGAUAAUAAAAUCUACCUGAUAGGAUAAUUGCAACAACAAACUGAAACACUGAACGUAAGACUCUGGGAUGGUGCCAUCUCCUAAUCACCAUCGUUAUUCGUAGCUCUGUAAGGCUGCUGUGGAGACACUAUGCAGUUUUCUCCUCCACUGCUUUCAGCCAGGGUUGACUGGGGGCUUGCCAUGUGUGAGGCCACAGGUCCUCCCGCAGACACCCCCCACCACACACACUGUACCCUCCCGAAGAGAAAGAGUGGAAGGCCAGCAAUAUAGCAAGUGCUCCCUAAUUGCUUCUUCUUCUUCUUGAAAACUUAGUUGUGUGGACAGAGUCAAGGAAAGGCUAGAUGUGGGGCCUCCAGGAGCAGUCAAGGGUGAGGGUGGAAGGCCGCGUCCUGCGUCUCUCCUGCGAUGGCGCUGGCUUGUGAGAGGGUCUUUUGGCCACAGUAUUAGGCCUCUGCCUGGACCCCGCAGGCCAGUCUAGGAGCACUGCAAACACAGUGAGAUGCCACUUUGGGAUGUGUAAAGGUGACCCAUGCUGAGAAGAGAGGCUUCAAGGCCUUUCUGAUUCAGCAUGUAGGUAGGUAGACACUUCUAAUGUUCUCCUCUGUCCUAUUCUUCCCUCCUUCUGCACAUGAGCGGAUUACAUUUCCUGGGCCUCUGCUCUUUGAUGAGUUGUGUGAGUCAUUUUAGCCAAUGGACUGUGGGUGGAAAUGAUGCAUUUGUGGCUUCCCAGCUGAAACAUUUGAUUGCCUGCAUGAGAUACUAUUCUUCUGCUGUUUUAGCAAAAACCCUGAAUAUUGUGUUGAGAUGGUAGCCUCAUAAAAAGAUUCUAGAACAUUCUGUAACGUAACAGAACACCCCUCCCUCUCCACGGACCUGCCUUGGGCUUAUAGUAUGAGCAAUAAAUACACCUUUAUUA